GUCACCGCACUUUGAAACGCCGUUCCCCGUACGAUCACCGAAGUCAAGCAUCGUCGAACACGGUCAGUACCGAGAUGGAUGACCGCUUCGGAAUACCAGGUGCUGUAAG